rnacentral:rRNA from 1 species
UACGAAGGGGGCUAGCGUUGCUCGGAAUCACUGGGCGUAAAGCGCACGUAGGCGGAUUGUUAAGUCAGGGGUGAAAUCCUGGAGCUCAACUCCAGAACUGCCUCUGAUACUGGCGAUCUCGAGUCCGGGAGAGGUGAGUGGAACUGCGAGUGUAGAGGUGAAAUUCGUAGAUAUUCGCAAGAACACCAGUGGCGAAGGCGGCUCACUGGCCCAGUACUGACGCUGAGGUGCGAAAGCGUGGGGAGCAAACAGG